rnacentral:misc_RNA from 1 species
UGGGAUAAAGGCUUAGUUGAGUUAAGUUGAGUUGAGUUGAGUUUUUCAGCUUGUUGGUUCUGUAUUAUUGAUAGGGGUGUAAACUUACGGGACUGGGCCGAGUUAUAGCGUGUUCAAGCUAGUUGUACCAGAAAUCACUACAUAAACAGUGAUUCAUGAUCUGAAUCACAUGAUUUGGAUCAUGAAUAAUGGCAAUUUUGGAACAUUGAAAUCAAUUUUACAACAUGCAAGUGAUCAUGGGUAGAGUAGCAAAAUAUCUCGAUUAUACUAACUGCAUAUUGCUGUUAUACUGCUACGAAUUAUGAGAUUUGGAUAAUUUUAGAUGGCAUUGAGAUGGACCUAGGAUGAAUAAGGGUGAAAUGGAUGAUGAAGAAAAUUUAUCUCUAACUGAGCAGAGUUGAAAAUAAUAUAUAGCUGUCCCCUAACUAGAUUUGACUAUGGCUUAUUUGGGUUGAGCUUGAUUGAUAUUAAUGUUAACUUAGCAUUGGAAAUUGAAACUAAUUUAUUUUAGGAUAUUAACUUUGUGGUCCUUUUAUAUUGUAGUCUGAAAGCUUCAGCCUUAAGCUUGAUAGAUUCUAAUAGAAAUCAAUGACAUUUAACCUUCAAGCUUGACUGAGUCUAAUUUUAUGGGCUUUAGAAUCUGAGCUUCACUUGAAUUUGAAGAGAGUCCAAACUUAGGCAUUUUGAAGCUUGGGUUAGCAAAUAAAUAUCAAGCUUGAACUCAGGUUAGUUGAAAAUUGGACCUAAAGCCAAUGCAACUAUUUAGCUGCUUUUAAGAUUUUUUUAUUUCUUCCAAUCUUUAAAAUAAUAUAAAAGGUCAAAUUCCGUUAAAUUUUGAUUGGCCCACCGCGAGGUACUGGUAGGUCAACUUGAAAAUGCCAAAAGCCCCAAUUCUCAUAAAUGAGGUGGGGCUGCCACCUGAUAUUUGGUCAUGGGCGCAUCAGGUGCUGUGCUUCUUGUUGAUGUGGGAAGUCCUACAUCUUCCUCUUUUUCUUCUUCCCUUCUUUUCCUUUGAUUUUGUGCCUACAUUUCAAAUUUAAUGUCUUUCAUCAAGUGAUCCACUUUAGGGAUAUGACCAAUUGUCAUGAAAAUCCUGCAGCAUGCUAAAAUUUGGAAUCAGUUUUUAAGCUAAUUUAUCACUGGAACACUGGCUUUCACAGCCUAAAGUUGGUGAUUAAUAAACUUCUGUAAAAUUUUGAAUGUGCGAGUAACAAACAUAAGUUCUAAUUAAGUUCGUUUACUAACGUAAUUGUGUUUAGCCCACCUUUGCUAGUAAUCACUUCAUUUGUUAAAUAAGCCUAAAAUUUGUUUUCAAACUCAUUUAUUGAACCUAAUAAAAGCAUAAUGAGCUUGUGACCAAAUUCACUGGUCUCCUUACUGCCAUACUGUUCAUGGAACCAACUCUGCCCACUGUCUUGCUUCAUCUUUAGGAUUGGAUGUCAAUUAGAAAUUUUUUUCUUUCCCCAUCAAACAAAAAUGGAGGAAAAGAUUUGCUUGCUGAGAUCAUCUAUAGAUUUGUCUUAGAACAAUGUUUUCCCCUCACAUUUUUCCCUACUUUCCUACUUUGAUUUUCUUGUUUAUAUCAAAUAUGAAGGUACUUUCUCAUGUGUAUUUGUGUGCUUAUGCAUGAAGUCUUUGUUACCGAACAUCUGAGUCAAAUCACAUCCAUCAGUGGUGGCCCUUUUUAGAGCAUAUGUAUGUGCAUUUAUUUGCCAUGCAUAAACUGAAUAGAGUGAUGUAAUUUUCUCCAGUUACCAGCAUUCCCCUCUUAUAUUGCUAGUAAUUCUGGAAAUUUAUGAGUCCUAUAAACAUGAAGCUCGACCUUUUUGAUUUCUCAAGUGUGCUGCUACAUUUUACCUAUUACUUAUGGCUGAUUCGACAGGUAUGGGGUAUCCCCAUUUGAGUAUGCACUUGGAGAGUCUGGAGGAAGCUUACAACUGGCCAUAGUAAAUGCACAAAUAAAGUGGCCAGCUGGGCCUAAUCCUCCAUAUCCAGAAUCUCUACAUAAGUUUGUGACCUGGAUGCUUCAGCCACAGGCAGCAGUUCGCCCUUGCAUCGAUGAUAUUAUAAUUCAUGUUGACAAGUUGAUCUCAAAGUUUUCUCAUUGAUGUGAAAUGGAACAAAAAUUUACUGCAUUGACAAUGCGGCAAUUGGCCAUGCACUUUCAGCAACUAGGUUGUGCAUAAGUGGAUGUGUAUGUUCAAAAUACUUGAAAAUGGCAGUGAAAGAAAAUAGAAGUUCCUUGUUAAAAAGAGCAACAGUUAAAGAGUUUAUUUUUUGUUUUUUUUUUUGGGCGUAGUUUUGGAUGUUAGCGUAUCGUUGUCACAGCUAUUUAAUUUUAUGUGCUGUAGUAAUUUAUGAAAAGAUCAUCCUGUGCCAACCCAAUAUUCAAUUUCUUAGAUGAACAAUGAUAAUCGGUGAUAAUUGCCCAUUUGUGUAUUUUAUUCGUUUUUUG